GAUUGAUGAGAAGAUUCCAGAAAUGAUGAGAAGAUUCUAGAAAUGAAGAGUAGCCAAGGAGUCACAGGAAAACAGAAAUGAGUUUCUCCAUCCUUCAACACACUGUGAGAACUGUGACUAUUCACUGUGUGGUGGCAACAUCCAUUUAAACUGCCCUCGCUCAUCAGUGUUACAGGUUUUCCUGUGCAUCUGAGAGUCCAAGAAAUCUAAUCCACCAAGAUGAUCUGCUAUUGUAAACAUCGCUAUGAAACCCAACUGAAAGCCCAGUGUUGAAGAUAAACUCAUGAAGCUGAGUUCAUGCAACUCUGUCACAGAAAAAGUCAGGAGAUGUUGCUGUUUCUAACAGAGCUGAAGCUCCUAACGUAUUAAUAAAUGUGGAAUAUAGGAAUCAUGAAAGCCAGAGUCAAGAGUGAAGAAUAAGGAAGGAGACACCUAUGAUCAGAAGAGAGAUGCUGGAGGACAAUAUAUGGGGUGGAGCUGAAAGAAGAAACAAUGUAUCCCGCCUCUGCAGCUGCACUGCAAGGGCUGACACAAGAGAAGAUAGCAAAGCAGGAUCCAAAGCUCCUGGAGGAGGAGAAGAGACUCCUGACAGCCACUGAUUUGAGCACUUGGAACUAGAUCUUUAAACGGAGUUUACAGUAUAGCUAAAGGAAAUAGCCUCGAUUUAUGCCAAAGCCUGAUCUGUGAAUGAACCGUCCUGGGAAUACACUUAGCUCUGACUUGGAAGGAAGGGAGAAAAGCCUUUGCAGAGCAAAUUUAUUACAAGAAUUCAUGUCACAGUGGACUUACUUCUGUCCCUAAAGUUUCGCAAUUUAAAAUGCAAGGCACAUCUCUGCUUCCGUGUGUAUGUAUGGACAUCUGCUGCAGUCAGAAUUCUUUCAGCACGUGGUACUUCAGCAGUACAUUCCUCAAGAUGCAAGUUUCAAGACCCUGAAAGAUGGGAAACCAGAGCAUCAUUUUUCAGACAUGAUCCUGUGGACACAUGCCUGGAAGCAGUUGCUAGUAGAUGACAUGAUGAAAUUUAAAGUCAGAAGUAUCGAUUGAGGCUUAUGGGUCAAGGAGCUGCACUUUAUCAUGGCGAGAAAGACACAGCAUCAGGGUACAAAUGUGAAAUGCUCCCAUUAAUCCUUAUGGGAAAUUCAGAAAUUGACAGAAGAAAACAAAGGAGAAAAAAAUGCACUGAAGACACUGGUGUUCUGACCAACAGAACUGCAGCGGCAAAGAUCAUGGCAGGCAGCAACUGUGCAGCUGCAGAGGCACAACAUGCAGCUGCUGCAGUGGCAUCAAAACCUCCAUCAACACCCCAGGAAGACUAGGUUCUGAGUCCCACAAUGAUUCUGCCCUCCCCGGUGACCACUACAGGCCUGUCCCCAUUCUCAUGAGCACUGGCCACUAGCCAGCUGUAUUUGGGGAUGUUCAUAGGGGUGGGAAAGUAUUUUCUCCUCUCCAGGAGGAAAUAAUCUCAUGAGUGCCUGACUGAAAAGACUUCAUUCUAGAAUUUACAUUCAUUAAAAAUAGGGGGAUCUUUACAAAAUGGGAUAUCUAGUCAACUUGUCACACAAGUUAAAUUCUCACGAUCUCCUGCGACCUUGGAAAGGAAAGAAUGCUACCACAAGAUCUUUUUGGGAUAUGGUGUUCCUUCACUGUGGAUUACUAACUUCUAAAAUUACUUAGAUUUAGAAAACUAGACAGUUUCCCAAAGGUACUUGAAGGGCUCUGUCCAAAGUUCAAGCUGUGAACAGUAUAUGGACAUUUAAGACACAAACCACGAUUUGUAAACUUCACAAGA